CGACUAAGGUUCGAUUCGAGCGGAGCGAGAAAGCGUUGCCGCAGGCAACGACCCGAAGGGCGAAGCGCGCAGCGCGAGUA
rnacentral:sRNA from 1 species